AUUCUACACCCCACACUGUCUCAUGGAGGCACUGUAUCAUCUCCUAACAUCACAGUGCAUGGAUGGGAGGAAACACAGGAGUACAACUAGUCUUUGGUAAACAGGAGGAUUCAGGCACCCACGAUGAUACCCUCUCUGGGCAGUAUCAUACAUGGAUUUCCUUCUAUUGAUCAAGCCUCACAAAAACCCCUGUGGCAGAC